rnacentral:lncRNA from 1 species
GGCAAAAUCACGCAUAGCAGUUUGCAUUCAAGUGACCUUUCUGGAUAUCCAUUAAAUUAGCACUACUGGUACAUACAAAAUGUGAACUUUAGGGAUCUACUUUGGGUAGUAGAAAAGCACAGAAUUCAGAACUGAGAGAAUUAGGUCUUUUCCUGCUUCAUGAUUUUGGGAAAGCCAUUCAACUUCUAUGACCUCCACGUUUCCCCAGAAAUGACAAUAAUAAUACGCUUUCUCUCACCUCUUGGAAGUUUGAAUCCUGAUCCUUUUAUUGUGUUUUUCACUAAUGAAGCCAACUGGAUUGGAACUCAAGAUUCAUCAUGACCAAUAUCCACUUUUAUCCUUAUUUCAUAUCUUGUCUCUACCCCUUAUCAAGAAAAUCAAUACAUGGACAUUUAUGUAGCAUUUGUUUUCUUUCUUUUUUCUUUUUAAAAAAAUGAAUUUCAACCAGGAACAUCUGCUGUCAGAUUAGGAGUGACUAUGCUUGAUGUAAUUUUUUUCUGCUAAGAUAUUUAGAAGCAAUACUUGCUUUUAUCAACUUUCUACCAACUGGUCUUACAAGUCAAAACAACAGGGCAGAAAAAAGAGAAGAAUAUCAAAUACCCCAACAGCUGAAGGAAGACAUGACACAUGAGCUCAGAUCUGUUCAGACAGAAAAUUGCAUUUAUGUCAUGGGUAAAGCAGUAAAUAGCAUACUUGGUGAUUCUAUGAUCAAUUCUUGCCAUUGGUUUAAACUUCUAUGCUAAUCUCAUGAGAUAAGAUUGUGAAGAGCUGAUCAUCUCCAGUACUCAGACAUAUAACGAUAUUUAUAAGAAAACAUU